CCGUCUCCAGUCUCUGGCAUAAAUUUUCCCCUUCCGAGCUGACUUUCGAGCUGCAAGUGAAAUGUAAAAUGUCGAAUGUGAGCGUACACACGCAACUCUUGCCAUUUUAAUUAAUGUCAAACUCUUAUCAUUGAAUAUAAAAUAUGCACAUAUACGAGGGGAGUGAGAGAGCGAAAGGACUAAAGGACAAUACUCACAUAUGCAUAUGGAAUUUACAUACCCAGGCCUUACCCGAGCCUUAGCUCGCUUUUCUUUGUCAAGUUGAACAGGCAGAAGGAAACAAUGCUCAUUCCCGCUCACCCGUUGCCUUGACAAAUCCUUUCUGUUUUUCUUUUUUUUUUUUCGUCCUGUUUUUGUGUUGGAUUUGCCGCAAAAAGCAAUCAAAGCAAAGGCACAAGAAAACGCAUGCUUACCAAUUAACGAGAUAUGUGCGAAUGUGCAGGAAAACGCGAGAAAUUUAGCAAAAGGACAAAAACACUCAGAAGACCGACAAAAAGUGGCAUACAAAUCAAAUGUGCUUGGGGAAAAAACACAUGCGAAAAAUUUAUAAAAACAAAAAAACCAAUACAAAGGCCCACUAACACACACUCGCACACACACUUCUAGAUGAUAGAUAUGGGCUAAGAGGCAGGAGGAAGGUGGAAGGUGGCACAGGCUAGAAAGGACUUUGGAGCCAAGUAGCAAACGUUUAUGCUAAACAGAGUGUAACUGCCGGGGUUGCCAGAGCUGAGAGUGCACGGUGACAUUUCUGCAAAAAGCCAGAAAGGAUAACAACAAGGUGCCACAAAAGGUCCUGUGAGAGUGCUCUACCUCUCUCUUGCUCUCGCUGUCUCGUUGGCAGUUUGCUUGCAGAAAAUGUAGCACACUUUCAGGCUCAGUCUCGGGCUCGGGCUAUUUUUGGCGAAAGACUCUCACUCUCGCUCUCGCUGUCUGCAAAGUCUGCUCGGCUCGGCACCUAGCUGGCCAACUGACUGCUGGCCCAGUGGAUGUCCUGCCAAACGGUUUUCAAACGCUCAGCUGAGAAAAUGUAACGGACGCUAGCGGCUGGGACGAAACUCACUGGCAUACAGAGACGGUACAAGAGAACCCAGAAAUUCAGCAAAAGGAGAAAACUUCCACAAGAAACGGCAGCUCGACAAAAUCUAUACAAAAGUGUCCGUGUCUGUGUCCGUGUCCGUUUCUGUGCCUGCGUCUGUGUCUGUGUCUGUGUCCGUGUGUGUAUGUGCGUGUGUAUAAAUUAGUUUGCGUACGUGUAUGGGUGUGCGAGGAUGUUCUUUAGAAGUAGCGUGAAAUUUUCAAGCAAAACGCGACGCGCCCUGAUUCGAGUUCUUUGUUCGUAAAAAAUCAUAAAAAAAACUCGACAAAAAUGUUAAUGACAAAGAACUAAGAUAAGACUUAAGCUAGAAAGUAUGCCCCAUAGUUCCCCGGAAAGCGUAGAAGCCGCAUUACAAUUUUAGACACAAAAAAUAAAAAAAAACAAUGCCAAAAGUUAAGGCGAAACCAAUAAAAUGAGCCAAGUCGCCUGCAACAACAACACCCACAACAACAACCGAAUCGGCAACAACAACAGCGACCAGGUUGCAGGCCCACGGGAAACACUAACAACAAGAACAACAACAAUAAACCAAACAACAUCGAAUGCUGGAAGGAAAUCAACAAAAAUCGACACAGAAAUAUUGAACGAGCGAUGAGAUGGAGCGUCCGAUUGGAUGACGAACUCAGAAAUCGACAAAAACCAAAAAAAAAAAAAGAACCGAACAAUACCAGGGGGGUGGGAGAUCUGCAACUGAAACCGAAAACUGAAACUAAAAACCACAGCGGAACUCGGAACUGGGAACUCGGAACUCGGAAUAGGAAAUCUGAAGAGGACCCCUGGACCCGUAACCGUAAUCGUAGCCCCCAAAAAAAAAACAAAA